rnacentral:rRNA from 1 species
AUACGAAGGUCCCAAGCGUUGUUCGGAUUUACUGGGCGUAAAGCGUGCGUAGGCGGCGAGGUAAGUCAGAUGUGAAAUCCCGGGGCUCAACCCCGGAACUGCAUCCGAUACUGCCCUGCUAGAGUAAUGGAGGGGCAUCUGGAAUUCAUGGUGUAGCAGUGAAAUGCGUAGAUAUCAUGAGGAACACUAGUGGCGAAGGCGAGAUGCUGGACAUUUACUGACGCUGAGGUACGAAGGCCAGGGUAGCGAAAAGGAUUAGAAACCCUAGUAGUCC